rnacentral:tRNA from 1 species
GCCGAUGUGAUGGAAUGGUAUACAUAGGAGAUUCAAAAUCUCCCGCCGUAAGGCUUAGGGGUUCGAAUCCCCUCAUCGGUA